CAGUAGCCGCGGGAACACGUAGGUGGCAAGCGUUGUCCGGAAUUAUUGGGCGUAAAGCGCGCGCAGGCGGAUAGGUCAGUCUGUCUUAAAAGUCCGGGGCUUAACCCCGUGAUGGGAUGGAAACUGCCAAUCUAGAGUAUCGGAGAGGAAAGUGGAAUUCCUAGUGUAGCGGUGAAAUGCGUAGAUAUUAGGAAGAACACCAGUGGCGAAGGCGACUUUCUGGACGAAAACCGACGCUGAGGCGCGAAAGCCAGGGGAGCGAACGGGAUUAGAUACCCGCGUAGUCCCUGUCUCUUAUACA
rnacentral:rRNA from 1 species